rnacentral:rRNA from 1 species
GUCUUUAUGAUAAAUAAUAUAAAGUCUAAUCUGCCCCCUGAAUUAAAUUUUAAAGGGCCGCAGUAUUUUAACUGUGCAAAGGUAGCAUAAUAACUAGUUUUUUAAUUGAAAACUAGAAUGAAUGAUUGGACGAGAUAUAAUCUGUUUCAGGUUAAUUAAAUAAAAUUUAAUUUUUUAGUUAAAAAGCUGAAAUUUUUAUAAAAGACGAGAAGACCCUAUAGAUCUUUAUAAAUUAUUUAAAUAAAUAAAUUUUCAAGGAUUUAUUUAAUUGAUUUAUUUUAUUGGGGUGAUAUAAAAAUUUACAUAACUUUUUAUUUAAUAUUAACGAAAAUUAUUGAUUUAUAUUAUUUAAUAAUCCUUUAUUUAAGAAUUUAGAUUAAGUUACCUUAGGGAUAACAGCGUAAUUUUAAUCUUAAGUUCAUAUUAAAAUUAAAGAUUGCGACCUCGAUGUUGGAUUAAGAUUUAUUUUAGAAGCAAAAAUUUAAAUAUUGGGUCUGUUCGACCUUUAAGAUUUU